GACGAACGCUGGCGGCGUGCUUAACACAUGCAAGUCGAACGGAAAGGCCCUGCUUUUGUGGGGUGCUCGAGUGGCGUACGGGUGAGUAACACGUGAGUAACCUGCCCUUGACUUUGGGAUAACUUCAGGAAACUGGGGCUAAUACCGGAUAGGAGCUCCUGCUGCAUGGUGGGGUUUGGAAAGUUUCGGCGGUUGGGGAUGGACUCGCGGCUUAUCAGCUUGUUGGUGGGGUAGUGGCUUACCAAGGCUUUGACGGAUAGCCGGCCUGAGAGGGUGACCGGCCACAUGGGGACUGAGAUACGGACCAGACUCCUACGGGAGGCAGCAGUGGGGAAUCUUGCACAAUGGGCGGAAGCCUGAUGCAGAAACGCCGCGUGCGGGAUGACGGCCUUCGGGUUGUAAACCGCUUUCGCCUGCGACGAAGCGUGAGUGACGGUAAUGGGUAAAGAAGCACCGGCUAACUACGUG
rnacentral:rRNA from 1 species